rnacentral:rRNA from 1 species
AGGACGAACGCUGGCGGCGUGCUUAACACAUGCAAGUCGAGCGGAAAGGCCCUUCGGGGUACUCGAGCGGCGAACGGGUGAGUAACACGUGGGCAACCUGCCCUUAGCUCUGGGAUAGCUCCGGGAAACCGGAAUUAAUACCGGAUAUGACCUAGGCCGACAUCGGCCGUGGUGGAAAGUUUUUCGGCUAGGGAUGGACUCGCGGCCUAUCAGCUAGUUGGUGGGGUAAUGGCCUACCAAGGCGACGACGGGUAGCCGGCCUGAGAGGGCGACCGGCCACACUGGGACUGAGACACGGCCCAGACUCCUACGGGAGGCAGCAGUGGGGAAUAUUGGACAAUGGGCGCAAGCCUGAUCCAGCAAUGCCGCGUGAGUGAUGAAGGCCUUAGGGUUGUAAAGCUCUUUCGCCGCGACGAUGAUGACGGUAGCGGGAGAAGACGCCCCGGCUAACGUCGCGCCAGCAGCCGC